AUGACCACGGCGGCGGCGGCGACGACGAUGCGUCUGUCUUCCCCGUUCAAGGCCCCGCCUCUCCGUCCUCCCUGCCACCGCGUCGUCCCGUCGAGGCGGGGCCCCGGGCGGGCUGGGCUGGCCGUCUCGGCGGCCGCCGGCGGGUCGCCCCCCACCGUGCUCGUCACCGGCGCCGGAGGACGAACAGGCCAAAUUGUGUACAAGAAGCUGAAGGAGAAGGCAGACCAGUUUGUGGCCAGAGGGCUGGUCAGGACGCCGGACAGCAAAUCUAAGAUCGAUGGGGGCGAUGACGUGUUCAUCGGAGACAUUAGGGAUCCUGGGAGCAUUGCGCCGGCGAUCGACGGCAUUGACGCGCUCAUCAUCCUCACCAGUGGGGUCCCGAAGAUGAAGCCAGGGUUUGAUCCUAGCAAAGGGGGUCGGCCCGAGUUUUACUUCGAGGAAGGGUCUGAUCCUGAGCAGGUGGAUUGGAUAGGCCAAAAGAACCAAAUCGACGCUGCCAAGAGCAUUGGUGUAAAGCAGAUAGUUUUGGUUGGAUCCAUGGGUGGAACAGAUCUCAACCAUCCAUUAAACAAGCUUGGGAAUGGGAAUAUACUGGUGUGGAAACGGAAGGCAGAACAGUACCUAGCGGACUCUGGUGUACCAUAUACAAUUAUAAGGGCUGGAGGACUACAAGACAAAGAUGGUGGUGUGCGUGAGUUGAUUGUUGGAAAGGAUGACGAGAUCUUGAAGACGGAAACAAAAACUAUUGCCAGGGCAGAUGUUGCAGAAGUUUGCAUACAGGCCUUGCUAUUUGAGGAAGCAAAGUUCAAGGCAUUUGAUCUGGCUUCAAAACCUGAAGGUGAAGGAACACCGACGACAGAUUUUAAGUCUGUUUUUGCACAAAUUGCUACUCGCUUCUAA
rnacentral:rRNA from 1 species